GUGAGGAAUAUUGGUCAAUGGGCGGGAGCCUGAACCAGCCAAGUCGCGUGAAGGAAGAAGGAUCUAUGGUUCGUAAACUUCUUUUGCAGGGGAAUAAAGUGCGGGACGUGUCCUGUUUUGUAUGUACCCUGAGAAUAAGGAUCGGCUAACUCCGUGCCAGCAGCCGCGGUAAUACGGAGGAUCCGAGCGUUAUCCGGAUUUAUUGGGUUUAAAGGGUGCGUAGGUGGUUUGAUAAGUCAGCGGUGAAAGUUUGCAGCUUAACUGUAAAAAUGCCGUUGAAACUGUCGGACUUGAGUGUAAAUGAGGUAGGCGGAAUGCGUGGUGUAGCGGUGAAAUGCAUAGAUAUCACGCAGAACUCCGAUUGCGAAGGCAGCUUACUAAGCUACAACUGACACUGAAGCACGAAAGCGUGGGGAUCAAACAGGAUUAGAAACCCUGGUAGUCC
rnacentral:rRNA from 1 species